AUGAGGCGCGAGGAAGCGGUGGUGGUGACCUCGGUGGCGGCCCCGGAGCCGGGCCGCGACGGGGAGCAGCCUCGGCCGCCGGCGGGGCUCGGGUGCGUGGCCCGCGGGGAGCCCGGCGGCGGCGGACCCCAGGAGUCACGCAAACAGUGGAAGAAAUUCUUGUAUUCGGAGCCACAUAAGAGAAUUAAGGAAGUACUAGAAGAAGAACUUUAUAUUAAAAGAGAUGAAUGCCACAUUAAAAAUCCACCUGCAGUGGCCCUGGAAGGGAUUUGGAGCUUUAAAAGGAAUCUCCCUGUGGGAGGCUUGAAGCCAGGACUACCGAGCAGAAACGGUAUGCUGCCACAAGCCAAGUACUACUCGAGGCAUGGAGGGCUGAGAAGUGAGAAAACUGAGGCACAGAGACAUUACAUUACUCAAGAUCCUGUGUCUAGGAGGUGGUGAGGCCAGCACUACAAACCUGUGUCCGUCUGACUUCUGAGAGGAUGCUCUUAACCUCUGGGCCAUCAUGGCAGAGAAUCUAGUCACUGGACCCCAAGGACGGAACCAGUGAUAAGAGGAAUAAAUUUUUCCAUUAAGAAGAAACUUCCUUCUCCUAAUGCCUGAAAAACAAGAGCCCAAGCUUGUUUCACAGUUUAAGAUGUGAUAAAAAAAUGUAUAUUAGUCUGUAAUUGUAAUUAUUGGUAUUAAUUCCUAUCUAUAAGUUAAUCCAAGGCAAUGGAAGACUAUUGGCAAAGUUUGCUAAGCACCUGGAAACAAGGAAGAAGAAUAUUACACUUAUUUUUAGUUGGCACAUUUAGAAUUACAUUGGGAUUCUAAUUCUGCUUAUUUUA